AGUGAACGCUGGCGGUAGGCCUAACACAUGCAAGUCGAACGGCAGCACAGUAAGAGCUUGCUCUUACGGGUGGCGAGUGGCGGACGGGUGAGGAAUACAUCGGAAACUACUUUUUCGUGGGGGAUAACGUAGGGAAACUUACGCUAAUACCGCAUACGACCUACGGGUGAAAGCAGGGGAUCUUCGGACCUUUCGCGAUUGAAUGAGCCGAUGUCGGAUUAGCUAGUUGGCGGGGUAAAGGCCCACCAAGGCGACGAUCCGUAGCUGGUCUGAGAUGAGGAUCAGCCACACUGGAAAUGAGACAAGGGCCAGACUCCUAAGGGAGGCAGCAGUGGGGAAUAUUGGACAAUGGGCGCAAGCCUGAUCCAGGCAUAGCGCGUGGGUGAAGAAGGCCUUCGGGUUGUAAAGCCCUUUUGUUGGGAAAGAAAAGAAGCAGGUUAAUACCCCGCUGUUCUGACGGUAACCAAAGAAUAAGCACCGGCUAACUUCGUG
rnacentral:rRNA from 1 species